GGCUGGUCCAAAGAUAGUGAGUUAUCUCAAUUAAUUGCUCACAGUCAGUUACAUAUCAAACUCCUUGUUCUAUUAUUUCCCCUCUUCUCACCACUACACUUGACUAGUCUUAA
rnacentral:Y_RNA from 1 species